ensembl:miRNA Mir674 microRNA mir-674
CAUCACCCUGAGCCUUGCACUGAGAUGGGAGUGGUGUAAGGCUUAAGUGUGCACAGCUCCCAUCUCAGAACAAGGCUCAG